UUUUAUGGAGAGUUUGAUCCUGGCUCAGGAUGAACGCUGGCGGCGUGCCUAAUACAUGCAAGUCGAGCGAACGGACGAGAAGCUUGCUUCUCUGAUGUUAGCGGCGGACGGGUGAGUAACACGUGGAUAACCUACCUAUAAGACUGGGAUAACUUCGGGAAACCGGAGCUAAUACCGGAUAAUAUUUUGAACCGCAUGGUUCAAAAGUGAAAGACGGUCUUGCUGUCACUUAUAGAUGGAUCCGCGCUGCAUUAGCUAGUUGGUAAGGUAACGGCUUACCAAGGCAACGAUGCAUAGCCGACCUGAGAGGGUGAUCGGCCACACUGGAACUGAGACACGGUCCAGACUCCUACGGGAGGCAGCAGUAGGGAAUCUUCCGCAAUGGGCGAAAGCCUGACGGAGCAACGCCGCGUGAGUGAUGAAGGUCUUCGGAUCGUAAAACUCUGUUAUUAGGGAAGAACAUAUGUGUAAGUAACUGUGCACAUCUUGACGGUACCUAAUCAGAAAGCCACGGCUAACUACGUGCCAGCAGCCGCGGUAAUACGUAGGUGGCAAGCGUUAUCCGGAAUUAUUGGGCGUAAAGCGCGCGUAGGCGGUUUUUUAAGUCUGAUGUGAAAGCCCACGGCUCAACCGUGGAGGGUCAUUGGAAACUGGAAAACUUGAGUGCAGAAGAGGAAAGUGGAAUUCCAUGUGUAGCGGUGAAAUGCGCAGAGAUAUGGAGGAACACCAGUGGCGAAGGCGACUUUCUGGUCUGUAACUGACGCUGAUGUGCGAAAGCGUGGGGAUCAAACAGGAUUAGAUACCCUGGUAGUCCACGCCGUAAACGAUGAGUGCUAAGUGUUAGGGGGUUUCCGCCCCUUAGUGCUGCAGCUAACGCAUUAAGCACUCCGCCUGGGGAGUACGACCGCAAGGUUGAAACUCAAAGGAAUUGACGGGGACCCGCACAAGCGGUGGAGCAUGUGGUUUAAUUCGAAGCAACGCGAAGAACCUUACCAAAUCUUGACAUCCUUUGACAACUCUAGAGAUAGAGCUUUCCCCUUCGGGGGACAAAGUGACAGGUGGUGCAUGGUUGUCGUCAGCUCGUGUCGUGAGAUGUUGGGUUAAGUCCCGCAACGAGCGCAACCCUUAAGCUUAGUUGCCAUCAUUAAGUUGGGCACUCUAAGUUGACUGCCGGUGACAAACCGGAGGAAGGUGGGGAUGACGUCAAAUCAUCAUGCCCCUUAUGAUUUGGGCUACACACGUGCUACAAUGGACAAUACAAAGGGCAGCGAAACCGCGAGGUCAAGCAAAUCCCAUAAAGUUGUUCUCAGUUCGGAUUGUAGUCUGCAACUCGACUAUAUGAAGCUGGAAUCGCUAGUAAUCGUAGAUCAGCAUGCUACGGUGAAUACGUUCCCGGGUCUUGUACACACCGCCCGUCACACCACGAGAGUUUGUAACACCCGAAGCCGGUGGAGUAACCUUUUAGGAGCUAGCCGUCGAAGGUGGGACAAAUGAUUGGGGUGAAGUCGUAACAAGGUAGCCGUAUCGGAAGGUGCGGCUGGAUCACCUCCUUUCUAA
rnacentral:rRNA from 1 species